rnacentral:rRNA from 1 species
UGGGGAAUAUUGUGCAAUGGGCGCAAGCCUGACCCAGCAACGCCGCGUGAGGGAAGAAGGUCUUCGGAUUGUAAACCUCUGUCCUUGGGGACGAAAAAAUGACGGUACCCGAGGAGGAAGCUCCGGCUAACUACGUGCCAGCAGCCGCGGUAAUACGUAGGGAGCGAGCGUUGUCCGGAAUUACUGGGCGUAAAGGGUGCGUAGGCGGUUUGGCAAGUCAGAUGUGAAAUCCCCGGGCUCAACUCGGGUGGUGCAUUUGAAACUGCUGAACUUGAGUGCAGGAGAGGAAAGCGGAAUUCCUAGUGUAGCGGUGAAAUGCGUAGAUAUUAGGAGGAACACCAGUGGCGAAGGCGGCUUUCUGGACUGUAACUGACGCUGAGGCACGAAAGCGUGGGGAGC